rnacentral:rRNA from 3 species
CUGGAACGCGCCCCAGGCGCACCCAGAAACCCUUUGUGAACUUAUACCUUACUGUUGCCUCGGCGCAUGCCGGCCCCCCUGGGGGCCCCUCCUUCGGGAGGAGCAGGCACGCCGGCGGCCAACCCAACUCUUGUUUUUACACUGAAACUCUGAGAAUAAAACAUAAAUGAAUCAAAACUUUCAACAACGGAUCUCUUGGUUCUGGCAUCGAUGAAGAACGCAGCGAAAUGCGAUAAGUAAUGUGAAUUGCAGAAUUCAGUGAAUCAUCGAAUCUUUGAACGCACAUUGCGCCCUCUGGUAUUCCGGAGGGCAUGCCUGUUCGAGCGUCAUUUCAAACCUCAAGCCUGGCUUGGUGAUGGGGCACUGCUUCUUACCCAAGAAGCAGGCCCUGAAAUUCAGUGGCGAGCUCGCCAGGACCCCGAGCGCAGUAGUUAAACCCUCGCUCUGGAAGGCCCUGGCGGUGCCCUGCCGUUAAACCCCCAACUUCUGAAAAU